AAAUCAAAUGAUGAAUUUGGAUUUAAAAUUCUCACGACGGUCGUCUGAGACACGUAAGUGUCGGAGUUGAUGCAAUAAUCCAAAACUUCUGAUGGUU